GGAAGUAAAAGCGUAACAAGGUUUCCGUAGGUGAACCUGCGGAAGGAUCAUUAUCGUACAAAAUAUGAGGGGCAUGCGAGGGCUGUCGCUGACCCAAAAGUCGUGCACGCCCGAGUGUGUCCUCUUGCAUAAUAAUCCAUCUCACCCUUUGUGCAUCACCGCGUGGGCACCCUUCGGGAUCAUCUCGGAGGGGGGCUCGCGUUUUCACACAAACCCCCCUUUUAAAAGUGUAGAAUGACCACAUUUAUGCAAUCAAUACAACUUUCAACAACGGAUCUCUUGGCUCUC
rnacentral:misc_RNA from 1 species